rnacentral:lncRNA from 1 species
GUUUAUCGAAAUCUGGCACUGUAUGUCAUAUUUCUUUGCAAUGCAUCAAUAGCCAGGCAUUUAGAAAUUAAUAUCUGUUUCAGAUUAGCUUACAAGGUAGUCAUGAUGAGAACUGGAGUGUUUUGGUGAGAUGACCAGAUAUUCAGUAUGCCAAAGCAUGGACUGCAGCCAAUCCUACCUCUCCUUACCUUUUGUUUCUUGACCACAUGAUAAUUUAGGAUCAUGUUCCCAGAUGAUAUGAGCAGGCGUUUCAGCCACCACUCCACUGCAUAUGCCUUCCUCUCCUAUUGAAAGCCUUUCUUGGAUUUCCUGGAUUUCUGGAAGUGGCAUAUACUAGACCAUCUCAUAUGCCAUUCCCAUCUCUUCCGAAGGGCAUGGUGUCUGCAAUUUACAGAAUCAUGCACAUGAACCACUCCAACAGCAAAGAAGCCCCAUGUGGACAUCAUCUAUAAAUUGAACCAAAGAAGUAACCAUGUAAUCAGUUUGUGAAAUGACCAACCCAUUUCAAGAACUAAAAUAAAAUUUAUUCAUAAGCAUAACUUAAGCCUAUC